GGGUUUCACCAUGUUGGUAGGGCUGGUCUCGAACUCCUGACCUUGUGAUCUGCCUGCCUUGGCCUCCCAAAGUGCUAGGAUUACAGGUGUGAGCCACCGCACCCAACCCUGUAUUACCUAUUUUUAAGGUAUUUAUAGAUAGUUGUCAUAUAGCUGUGACUAUUCCAUGUGUGCGAUAGUAUACCUUGUUUUUCUACCCAAUCUUAUACCUUACAAAACUGCUGUCAUCACUCACUCGUCUGUGGUUAUCACCGCCUUACCAGUGGCACAGCAAACCCAGUGCUUUCUGUGGAUGGCUCCUCCUCUGUUGUUAGGAGGUAAAAUUCAGUUUCAAUUUUUCAUAGUUAUGAACAUACUAUAAUCAACAUUUCGGUGCUUAAACCUUUUUCCAAAUGUAAAAUUUCUUUACGAUACAUAUUUGCCAAAGAGGAAUUGCUGCAUCAGAAGGUGUAUAAUUGCUUUUAAGAUUUUUGAUAUAUCCAAGUUCCUUUUGGAAACAUUACAUCAGUUUGCACUGCUGCUACUGCUAGUAAUGCUUGGGGAUACGUGUUCCUCACACACACCCACUACCCCCCACACCUCCCGCCCAGCUGGCAUUAUGUAAUAACAGCACUUUUCAUUGUAGGGUGUUUAGUAGCAACUUUGCUAAUAGGGGAAAGGGCAUCUCAUUUUAAUUGUCUUUGAUUUUUAAGGAUGUUGAACUUUCUCCUGUAAGCUUCUUAAGCCAUUGUUUCCUCUCUUCACAUUGUCUGUCUUUUAAUCAUUUGUCUAUGUGACUUUAAUAGCUUCCUAUCAGUUUGAACCAUCUCUUUGCAUAAUAAAGAUAUUAAUUCUUUGUUGUCAUCUUGGCUGCAAAUGAUUUUCCCUCUUUGGUAUUUUCUUUAUUUUUUGAAAAUGUUUCAAUUUUUAUAUAUUUCAAUCCUUCUAUUUUCUUCCAACCCUACAAAAUCUAACCCUCUGUAAACAUUAGUGUUUUAUUCUGGAGUUUUAAAAAUAUGCUUUAGUGAUUAUUGAAUUUACUUGGGCAUAUUGUAUGAAAAGAGAAUUAAAUUUAUUCUUCCUCAUUGUUAAUUGCCCCAACAUUAUUAGUAAAUUAUAAAUUGUUAUAUUUUAUAAUGUAGGUUCUAUAUUUGGACCAUCUACUUGCUUUUAUUGGCUUGUUGCCCUGUUUUAUCCUAGAUCUAUAUUCUUCUUAAUUUUUAUGGCUAUAUUUAAUGUUUUCCAUCAUUGUGCCUUUAAAAAGUAUAUGUACAUGUAUGCAUAAAUUUAUGUGAAGUUAUAUAUAAGUUUCCGUUAUUCCAGAUUAAAAUUUAUCUUUAGUAAUCAAAAACCAACCUUCUGAUUAUUAUUGCAAUGAACUUAUAAGUUAGGAAGGAUUAACAUUGUUACAUUUAAUCUUAACAUCCAGGAAUAUGAUACUGUGUUUUCAUUCAUUCAAGCUUUUGUAUCAAUCAGUAAAGCUUUAUAGUUUUCUUAUCAAAAUGUCACAAGUUUUCCUUAGUUAUUUCUGCAUGUUUUUGCAGUUGUGAGUUUUCUUCUAUAGAGUUUUUCUUAUAUUUCUUCUAAAAAGCCAGCAUCUCAAGAAUAGGGUCACUUCGGCAUUGCCAAGGAAUUCUGAAAUUUUAGAACCAGACUAACUACAUUUGGCUGCUUUAUUAAAGUCACCCAGGCCGGGCGCGGUGGCUCACGCCUGUAAUCCCAGCACUUUGGGAGGCCGAGGCGGGUGGAUCAUGAGGUCAGCAGAUCGAGACCAUCCUGGCUAACAAGGUGAAACCCCGUCUCUACUAAAAAUACAAAAAAAAUUAGCCGGGCGCGGUGGCGGGCGCCUGUAGUCCCAGCUACUCGGGAGGCUGAGGCAGGAGAAUGGCG
rnacentral:lncRNA from 1 species